UGUUAUUAAAUUCCAGCAUGUCUGAUAUGUUAUUGGCAGGUCCCGGACCCGUUUUACGGGGGUUAAAUAUCCGUAAUUUAGGGGAGGUUCUGUCAAAUUUUCGGCAGAAUCCUCGAGUCUAAUUUAAUUCUAGGCAGUCGACCUUAGGGUCUAAGUUUAGGAAAAAUUUUCGAAUGUCUAUUAAUUGUAUGUCUUUUGUUAUUAGAUAAUUCAGCCUUCCCGCCAGCUCCACCCGAGGCGUAGGAGCG
rnacentral:lncRNA from 1 species